GGGGGUGUAGCUCAGUAGUAGAGCACAGGCUUAGCAUGCAUGAGGCCCUGGGUUCGAUCCCCAGCACCUUCA